CUUCUUCGAAGAUACUCCUAGGAAGGUCCUGGAUUCUUUCUCUGUGUAACAAGUGUUGAAAGUUGAUGAAGAUGGUAUAAUGGAUUGAGCACUGAAGACCUGGACUACCACCAUUGUACUAUGUGAGAAUUAGUCAAGUCUAUCCCUGGAGGAAUGGAAAGAGAAGGCUUCUGCCCUUCCCCCUACAACAUGAUGACUGCUACAAUAUGGCAUACAGAGCAAGCAGAUUGGCUCAAUGGACAAAUCUGAGCCUGGGGAACCUAGCUGCCUCUUCUGCUUUGUGUUCAUUCCCCAAACAUAGAAGACCAAACACUGAUCUCAAAAUGGACGUGUCUAAGACUUGGAUAUAACCUUGUGAGUUCAAGAGUUCUGAUGAUUCUAGAGUUAACUGGCAUUUGGCAGAAGACAUAGACUUGGGGGUGGUAGUGGUAAUUCUUCGGACAAGGCAAAAGAUAAACAUUUUUCUGUAGUCCUGCCAAGUGUUUUUUUGUUUUGGUGGUUGUAGCUCUCAAUCUCUGAAGAGAGUAUAACAGUAGUUAUACAUUAUUAUAUCUUAUUUUAAGUUUUCUGUCGUUGCACACUUGUAGAUCUUAUGUGUUUUGAAUUUAUUUUGUGUGUUAGAAAUGAAAAGCUUAUACCUGAUUCAUAUUGUACAUUACUUUUCUAUUCUUGCCUUCCUCUCCACUUUGGGAGACACUAAACAUGAUGAAAACCUAA